rnacentral:lncRNA from 10 species
GUUUGGUUCAUGCAGAUUCAUUAUACUAUUUCCUCUACUUUUGUGUAUGUGUGAAUUCUCCACAAUAAAAAGGUGUUUUAAAUCCUAAAAAAACAAAAAUCUCUGAAACAGAGAGUGUAGUGAGUGUAGUUUAGGUCACAUGCUUACCCCUUGACUAUGUCAGAGGGUGAAGGAAGAAGCCUCUAGGGACUCCUUUGGUUUCUGUAGUAGGAGAGCAUUUGUAUUUAUCAUCCUGACAAUGAGACACAAUGGGGGUGAGGUAAUUCUCCCAAAAGACAUUGGGGUGCAAUUAGGAAGAGGGAUGGAGGCUGGGUGUCCAUAUAAUGACAACUAUCCACUUCUGUGCAUGACAGAUGGGGCACUUUAUCAACUUUCCUCCCUCAUCUCUUAUCUCCUCCACUACAGCCUGCACUCCAGCCGGGCCAGCAACCUUGUGCCUUUCUGUGCCCUGCUCUUGACUGUGUUGGUGCCCUGAUGAAAGUCUACUCAUCCUGCAGACUCAAUUCAGACAUCAUCUCCUUCGACUUUGUAAGCAGAAGGUGGUAGAUUUUGGAUGGCUCUUGACUCUUCAUCUCACAGUGUAUUUACAGUAGUGGUCCUGCAUCAAAAUCAGCUGACAAACUGGUUAAAACACAUAUUGCUGGGCCCAACCCUUAGAGUUUCUGUUUCAGUAGGUCUUGGGUGGGGACCUGAAAAUUUGCAUUUUUAAGUUCCCAGAUGAUGCUGAUGCUGCUGGUCCAGGGACUGCAUUUUAUGAACCUCUGCUUUGGAACAUUGGUGUCCAAAUCUGACUACGUACCAGCCUCAAAUGUAGAAUGUUAAAAGUAUAUAACUUCCUGGAUUGGCUGUAGGCUUGAAGAAUCAGAUACUCUGGGAGUGGGAUCCAGGAACCUGCAUUUUGAAAUAGAUUCCCAGCUGUUAUUUCUGCAGUGGUCCUGACAAUAUUUUGGAUAGUUACUGGGGACCACAGCAUCUGAGGGCACUGAUCAGUCAGACCACCUCCCCCCACCCUUUAGGCAAAGUGACAGAGAGGCUGGUGUAUUUCUUCCUAACAGGAUGGAAGCAGCCCUGAAGAAAAUGAUGCUUUCUUACUGGUUAAAGGAUUAUAGUGGGCCAGGCACAGUGGCUCAUGCCUGUAAUCCCAGCACUUUGGGAGUCUGAGGUGGGAGGAUAACUUGAGCCCAGGAGUUCACGACCAGCCUGGGCAACAAGGUGAGACUCUGUCUCUACAAAUAAUAAAAAAAUGAGGUAGGUGUGGUGGCUCACGCCUAUAGCUACUUGUGAGGCUGAGGUGGGAGGAUCACUUAAGCCAGAGUGGUCAGGCUGCAGUGAACCAUGAUCGUACCACUGUACUCCAGCCUGGGCAGUAUAGUAAGACCCUGCCCUGUCUCAAAAAAGAAUUACAGUGAAGAUUAAUAUAAUCUCACACAAAUAUUCAGAAAGUACCAUUGUUAGUACUUUAAAAUUUUUAAUUGAAAUCAGAUGUCAAUUUCUACCUCUUAAAUGAGCAAAGCAUUGAAAUAAUUUAAUAGGUUAGAGAUAGUGGGUUGAAAUGCAUACUCUCAUUUAUUACUAUUGGCAUUAUAAACUGAUACGCUGUCUUCGAAAAGCAAUUUGGCAACCUACAUCAAGAUCCAGAAAAUGGGCCAAGAUCCAGAAAAUAGGCCAGGUGCAGUAGCUCAUGGCUGUAAUCCCAGAACUUUGAGAGGCCAAGGUAGGAGAAUCACUUGAGGCCAGGAGUUCAAGACCAGCCUGGGUAACAUAGCAAGACCCUAUCUCUACAAAAAAUAAAAAAUUAGCCCAUGUGGUGGUGUGUGCCUGUAGUCCCAACUACAUGGGAGGCUGAGGUGGGAAGUUCCCUUCAGCCCAGGAGAUUGAAGUUGCAGUGUGCUAUAAUGGUGCCACUGCACUCCAGGCUGGGUGAGAGAGCAAGACUCUCUUUUAUAUAUAUAUAUAUAUUAUAUAUAUAUAUAAUAUAUAUAUAUGGCCGGGCGAGGUAGUCUCGAACUAGCCUUCUAUAGUGAGCAUGUAGUGCAAGUGAGUCACCGUGCCUGGCCUGUAAUUUUUUUUUUUUUUUGAGAUAGAGUUUUGUUCCUGUUGCCCACACUGGAAUGCAAUGGCAUGAUCUCGACUCACUGCAACCUCUGCCUCCUGGGUUCAAGUGAUUCUCCUGCCUCAGCCUACCGAGUUGCUGUGAUUACAGGCAUGCGCCACCACGCCCGGCUAAUUUUAUAUUUUUAGUAGAGAUGAGGUUUCUCCAUGUUGGUCAGGCUGGUCUCAAACUCCUGACCUCAGGUGAUCUCCUGCCUCGGACUCCCAAAGUGCUGGGAUUACAGAUGUAAGCCACCAGCCUAUAAUCUUUAAAGAAAAAAUAAUUAGUGUUUUA